GGACAAGACCCGAAGAUGAGCACAGGGUGGAUGCCUAGGCGCCACAGACCGAUGAAGGACGCGCCCACGCGGCGAAAUGCUCUGGGGAGGCGCUGGGAGCCAGUGAUCCAGAGGUCUCCGAAUGGGGCAACCCGUCCGAGGUCAUACCGGACACCACGCAAGUGGAGGGAACCGGGGGAACUGAAACAUCUCACGUACCCCGAGGAACACAGAUGAUUCCCGUAGUAGCGGCGAGCGAACCGGGAGGAGCCCAAACCUGACCAGCGCACGAGGCUGCCGCCGCUGCUGGGCAGGGGUUGUACGGGAUGGAUGGAGGAGGUGGCAGACUCCUCGCCCGCAUCACGAGCACCGCGCGGAACGCUUACUGGAAGGGGCGACCGAAGAGGGUGAGAGUCCCGUAGGCGGGGGGCUGGUGGUGGGGUGAUCCAUGACCGUGAGUACCGCCGGACACGUGAAAUCCGGUGGGAAGCAGGGCCGCCCACGGCCCAAGGCUAAAUAUCGGUGGCGACCGAUAGCGAACCAGUACCGUGAGGGAAAGGUGAAAAGCACCCCGUCGAGGGGAGUGAAACAGAUCCUGAAACCCUGUGCUUCCGGCCGGUCGGAGUCCCUUUAGGGGAUGACGGCGUGCCUUUUGUAGAAUGAGCCGACGAGUGAUUGGGCGUAGCGAGGCUAAGGCGGCGGACAGCCGGAGCCGGAGCGAAAGCGAGUCCGACAGGGCGACGUUAGUUGCGUGCAAUCGACCCGAAACCGGGUGAUCUACCCUUGGGCAGGGUGAAGCGGGCGGAACACGCCCGUGGAGGCCCGAACCCGUGUCUGUUACAAAAGGCAGGGAUGACCUGAGGGUAGGGGUGAAAUGCCAAUCGAACCCGGAGAUAGCUGGUUCUCCCCGAAAUGCAUUUAGGUGCAGCCUUGAGCUGGGCCACGAUGGAGGUAGCGCACUGAAUCGGCGAGGGGGCUUCCCGCUUACCGACCCGUCUCAAACGUCGAAGACCGUCGUGGGGGGCUCAGGAGUGAGACUGUGGGAGCUAAGUUCCAUGGUCGAGAGGGAAACAGCCCAGACCGCCGGCUAAGGUCCCGAAGUACACGCUAAGUGGGCAAGGUAGUCGUGGCGCGCAGACAACCAGGAGGUUGGCUUAGAAGCAGCCAUGCCUUGAAAGAGUGCGUAAUAGCUCACUGGUCGAUGCGCUACGGCGCCGACAAUCCACCGGGGCUCAAGCGUGUCACCGACGCCGCGGAUUUCGGAUAACGGAAUGGUAGGGGAGCGUCGUGGUCAGCAGAGAAGGGGGAGCGUGAGCGAACCUGGAGCGGCCACGAGUGCGAAUGUCGGCAUGAGUAGCGCGAGGGGGGUGCGAAUCCUCCCCACCGAAUGCCCGAGGGUUCCGCAGCGAUGCUGAUCAACUGCGGGUGAGGCGGGCCUAAGCCGAGGCCGGAAGGCGUAGGCGAUGGACAACGGGUUCAAAUUCCCGUCCCGUUCGGCACCGAUUGAGUGAUGGGGUGACGCGGGGAGCUAGGUCCGGGGGGUGCAAGCCCCUCCAAGUUGGUAGGGAGUGGCCACAGGCAAAUCCGUGGCUGCGUUGACCGAGAAACGAGUGGAAGGUGCGGUCGUCAUGGCCAAGCCGGACGGAUUGAUGCUGGACCGCCAAGAAAAGCCUCUAGCGAGGGGCCUGAGCGACCGUACCGCAAACCGACACAGGUGGGCUGGUAGAGCAUACCAAGGUGGACGGGAGAACCUCCGUCAAGGAACUCGGCAAAUUCGUCCCGUAACUUCGGGAGAAGGGACGCCCCGGUAGGGUGAAGCGGCAUGCCCGUGGAGCUCGAGGGGGUCGCAGUGACCAGGCCCAGGCGACUGUUUACCAAAAACACCGGUCCCUGCCAACGCGAAUGAGCGUGGACGUAUAGGGGCUGAGACCUGCCCAGUGCCGGAAGGUUAACGGGAGGCGUGCGAGCGCUGAACCGAAGCCCCGGUAAACGGCGGCCGUAACUAUAACGGUCCUAAGGUAGCGAAAUUCCUUGUCGGGUAAGUUCCGACCCGCACGAAAGGUAGAACGAUCUGGGCGCUGUCUCGACGGAGGACCCGGCGAAAUUGCAAGACCGGUGAAGAUACCGGUGACCCGCGGCAGGACAAAAAGACCCCGUGCAGCUUUACUCCAACUUGUCGUUGGGCGCGGGCGCCGUUUGUGUAGGAUAGGUGGGAGCCGGAGAACCUGGGGCGUCAGCUCUGGGGGAGGCGCUGGUGAAAUACCACCCUGACGGCGCCUGUGUCCUCACCCGGGCCUCGGAAUCGGGGCAGGGGACCGCGGCUGGUGGGGAGUUUGACUGGGGCGGUCGCCUCCCAAACAGUAACGGAGGCGCCCAAUGGUUCCCUCAGGCCGGAUGGCAAUCGGCUGGAGCGCGCAAGGGCAGCAAGGGAGCUUGACUGCGAGGCGGACAUGCCGAGCAGGGACGAAAGUCGGGCCUAGUGAUCCCACGGUACCGGGUGGCAGGGCCGUGGCUUAACGGAUAAAAGCUACGCCGGGGAUAACAGGCUGAUCCUGCCCAAGAGUCCACAUCGACGGCAGGGUUUGGCACCUCGAUGUCGGCUCGUCGCAUCCUGGGGCCGGAGAAGGUCCCAAGGGUUGGGCUGUUCGCCCAUUAAAGCGGUACGCGAGCUGGGUUCAGAACGUCGUGAGACAGUUCGGUCUCUAUCCGCCGUGGGCGUAUGGGUGUUUGCGGGGGGCCGUCCCUAGUACGAGAGGACCGGGAUGGACGGACCGCUGGUGAGCCAGUUGUCGGGUAACCGGCAUCGCUGGGUAGCUACGUCCGGAUGGGCGAACCGCUGAAAGCAUCUAAGCGGGAAUCCCGCCCCAAGACCAGACACCCCGGGAGCACCAAGCUCCGGGAGACCCCCGGGAGACGACCGGGUUGAUAGGCGGCGCGUGGACAGCGGGCAACCGACUGGAGCGGAGCCGUCCUAAUGGUCAAGGGGGUUUUCGCCCCGC
rnacentral:rRNA from 1 species